UGAAGUUCUGAUAUGCUGAAUAGAUCUAUUAGGGGAAAUAGAGAGGGAGAAAAGAUCUCGAGGCGAAAGAGAAGAAACUCACUCAAGAAGUUAAGAAGAGUGCUAAUCAAGGUAGAUGGGACCUUUCUAUUGGAUGACAAUUUAAUGCAAAGCUACUUGUGUACAUACAGGAUCAUAAGGUUCAUAGAGAUGAAAUACAUACUAAGCUGGUCCAGAUCAUGAGAGAGAGGUUAUUGGUUCAUCUACGCGGGUUGCCUCAAAUCGUAGAGAGGUGGAAUAGACCAGAAGAGACUGACCCACAACCUAGUCAGUUUGCUCGAUCACUUACCAAGGAAGUUGGAUACUUGUAACGUUUUCUAACUCAAACUUUACAUGAGGUUGAUGUUUAAGCAAUUUUCAGGCAAGUGAUUAUAAUUUUUCAUUCACAAAUUUUGGAAGCACUUUCACGCUUAGAGAUCAGUACACCACAAGCCAAGGACAGGCUCUGUCGCGAUGUUAAGCUCAUUCUUGGAUGCAUUAGAUCUUUGCCUUCUGAUAGUAUGAGUGAAUCUGGUACACCAAACUGGGGUCAACUAGAUGAAUUCUUGGUUCAGAGAUUUGGUUCAGAAGCCAGUUACAUGUUGUAAAGUGUAAUGAUCACUUGCUUCUUUGGAGAUGGCUAAUCAGAAUUUCAGGAUGCCAGAAGCCAAUUUUGGUGCAUGCUUUCCCUUGUACAAUUUCAUUGAGAUCGACAAAGAAUCAAUAAAUGGUUGGCUGUGAAUGCAUGUUGGUGGUAGGGAAAACCUGGGUGGAAAUACCUAAAAAAGAAGGGCUGGACUUGAAAAGCAUAUGCUCGGUGUGUAGGUCUUCAGUUCCUGUGCUAUAAAAGUCUGAAACUUGCUGGCUAUAGUGUUGUAGGUCUUCAAUUUACUAGCUACAGAUUGAAAUUUGACAUAUUACUUUGUCAAUUUAGCUUGGUAGGUGAUG